UGGCGGACGGGUGAGUAAUGUCUGGGAAACUGCCCGAUGGAGGGGGGUAACUACUGGAAACGGUAGCUAAUACCGCAUAACGUCGCAAGACCAAAGAGGGGACCUUCGGGCCUCUUGCCAUCGGAUGUGCCCAGAUGGGAUUAGCUAGUAGGCGGGGUAACGGCUCACCUAGGCGACGAUCCCUAGCUGGUCUGAGAGGAUGACCAGCCACACUGGAACUGAGACACGGUCCAG
rnacentral:rRNA from 1 species